rnacentral:sRNA from 1 species
AACUGCGAAUGGCUCAUUAAAUCAGUUAUCGUUUAUUUGAUAGUACCUUACUACUUGGAUAACCGUGGUAAUUCUAGAGCUAAUACAUGCUAAAAAUCCCGACUUCCGAAGGGAUGUAUUUAUUAGAUUAAAAACCAAUGCCCUCUGGGCUCACUGGUGAUUCAUGAUAACUUCUCGAAUCGCAUGGCCUUGCGCCGGCGAUGGUUCAUUCAAAUUUCUGCCCUAUCAACUUUCGACGGCUGGGUCUUGGCCAGCCGUGGUGACAACGGGUAACGGAGGGUUAGGGCUCGACCCCGGAGAAGGAGCCUGAGAAACGGCUACUACAUCCAAGGAAGGCAGCAGGCGCGCAAAUUACCCAAUCCUGAUUCAGGGAGGUAGUGACGAUACAUACUGAUACAGGGCUCUUUUGGGUCUUGUAAUUGGAAUGAGUACAAUUUAAAUCCCUUAACGAGGAACAAUUGGAGGGCAAGUCUGGUGCCAGCAGCCGCGGUAAUUCCAGCUCCAAUAGCGUAUAUUAAAGUUGUUGCAGUUAAAAAGCUCGUAGUUGAACCUUGGGCCUGGCUGGCCGGUCCGCCUCACCGCGUGCACUGGUCCGGCCGGGCCUUUCCCUCUGGGGAGCCGCAUGCCCUUCACUGGGUGUGUCGGGGAACCAGGACUUUUACUUUGAAAAAAUUAGAGUGUUCAAAGCAGGCCUAUGCUCGGAUACAUUAGCAUGGAAUAAUGGAAUAGGACGUGUGGUCUUAUUUUGUUGGUUUCUAAGACCGCCGUAAUGAUUAAUAGGGACAGUCGGGGGCAUCAGUAUUCAAUUGUCAGAGGUGAAAUUCUUGGAUUUAUUGAAGACUAACUACUGCGAAAGCAUUUGCCAAGGAUGUUUUCAUUAAUCAGGAACGAAAGUUAGGGGAUCGAAGACGAUCAGAUACCGUCGUAGUCUUAACCAUAAACUAUGCCGACUAGGGAUCGGACGAUGUUAUUCUUUGACUCGUUCGGCACCUUACACGAAAGUACAAGUUUCUGGGUUCUGGGGGGAGUAUGGUCGCAAGGCUGAAACUUAAAGAAAUUGACGGAAGGGCACCACCAGGGGUAAACUAUGCUGCAUGCUCUGCCCCUAAGAGCAGCCCCGUAGGGGGUCGGGUGGUCUGUCCUAGCUGCCAUAGCGCGGCUGUCGUUAAAUGCUAGUCGCCUCCGGGCGGCGACACCCUCAAAUUGCGGGGAAUCCCUAGGCAUCCUGCUCCUAACGGCUGCUCGAAAGAGCCGCCCGGCGCCGGCGUAAUGGCCGGCGGUACAGGGACAACGCAGGCUUGCCGCUUCAGGGUUAUCCGCAGCUAAGCCCCCUAGGCCUCGUGCUGGGGGAAAGUUCAGAGACUUGACGGGGGUGGUCCGGUUGCCGGCGGCGCAACCGGGCUAAGAGAAAGUCCAUACACGCCUGAAAAGGCCUGGGAAACUCCUGAUACAGGGAGCCUGCGGCUUAAUUUGACUCAACACGGGGAAACUCACCAGGUCCAGACACGAUGAGGAUUGACAGAUUGAGAGCUCUUUCUUGAUUUCGUGGGUGGUGGUGCAUGGCCGUUCUUAGUUGGUGGAGUGAUUUGUCAGCUUAAUUGCGAUAACGAACGAGACCUUAACCUGCUAAAUAGCCCGUAUUGCUUUGGCAGUACGCCGGCUUCUUAGAGGGACUAUCGGCUCAAGCCGAUGGAAGUUUGAGGCAAUAACAGGUUAAAAAUUCACAGGCCUGUAAAAGUGGAAGCCUCUCUCUACGAGAAUUAAUUGUCCGCUAGUCCAACGCUCUAAAUCUCCUUGGGGAAGCCCCCAACUGUCGGGAGGAGGACCGCUUGUCGGAAGACGAGCGGUGAGCGUGGGCGACACCACCUGGUACAGGGGACGCCUUAGGGGCCGAUCCUGUGGCGAGCUCGGGUAGCGCCGAGCCGUCGCAACGCGCGCAAAGGGGUGGGCUCCAACAUGGGGCUUAAGGUACGUGCUAAUCCCUCGAGCAAUCGAGCUUCCGUGAUUAGGUCCGACAGGCCGAAGCGCGGAGGGACUCUCUGGAAAACGAGAGUUGGUAGUAGUCUGAAACGCUUACUGGACCUGUUUCCAGGGAGUGCAGGCUAUAGAUGCUGUGAUGCCCUUAGAUGUUCUGGGCCGCACGCGCGUUACACUGACAGAGCCAGCGAGUUCUUCCUUGGCCGAAAGGCCCGGGUAAUCUUGUGAAACUCUGUCGUGCUGGGGAUAGAGCAUUGCAAUUAUUGCUCUUCAACGAGGAAUCCCUAGUAAGCACAAGUCAUCAACUUGUGUUGAUUACGUCCCUGCCCUUUGUACACACCGCCCGUCGCUACUACCGAUUGAAUGGCUCAGUGAGGCUUUCGGACUGGCCCAGAGAGGUGGGCAACUACCACUCAGGGCCGGAAAGUCAUCCAAACUCGGUCAUUUAGAGGAAGUAAAAGUCGUAACAAGGUCUCCGUUGGUGAACCAGCGGAGGGAUCAUUACGAGAGAGUUGCAAAACUCCCUAAAACCCUUUGUGAACCUCACCCGUUCCAUAGUUUAGUGUCUUCGGCGGGUUGCCCCAGGGGGGGCCUCGUGCCGUCAGGCGCCCGCCAGAGGACACAACCCAAACUCUUUUAUGGCGUCUGCCACUGUUAUCUGAUUAUAUAAAACAAAUAAAUUAAAACUUUCAACAACGGAUCUCUUGGUUCUGGCAUCGAUGAAGAACGUAGCGAACUACGAUAAGUAAUGUGAAUUGCAGAAUUCAGUGAAUCAUCGAAUCUUUGAACGCACAUUGCGCCCACCAGCACUCUGGUGGGCAUGCCUGUUCGAGCGUCAUUUUCCACCCUCAAGCCCUUACGGGAUUGGUGUUGGGGCUCUUCUACGGCGGGGAUCUCCCCCUGUAGGCCCUUAAAGUCAGUGGCGGGCUCGCUAGCACUCCGGGCGUAGUAGCUUUUACACGUCGCCUAGGGGGUCUGGCGGGUGACCAGCCGUAAAACCGCGACUCCGGUCGCACACCUAAGGUUGACCUCGGAUCAGGUAGGAAUACCCGCUGAACUUAAGCAUAUCAAUAAGCGGAGGAAAAGAAACCAACAGGGAUUGCCCUAGUAACGGCGAGUGAAGCGGCAACAGCUCAAAUUUGAAAUCUGGCCCUCUGGGUCCGAGUUGUAAUUUGUAGAGGAUGCUUUUGGCGCGGCGCCUUCCGAGUUCCCUGGAACGGGACGCCAUAGAGGGUGAGAGCCCCGUACGGCUGGAUGCCAAACCUUUGUAAAGCUCCUUCGACGAGUCGAGUAGUUUGGGAAUGCUGCUCAAAAUGGGAGGUAAAUUCCUUCUAAAGCUAAAUACCGGCCAGAGACCGAUAGCGCACAAGUAGAGUGAUCGAAAGAUGAAAAGCACUUUGAAAAGAGGGUUAAAUAGUACGUGAAAUUGUUGAAGGGAAGCGCCUGUGACCAGACUUGGUCCCGGCGGAUCAUCCGGCGUUCUCCGCCGGUGCACUCCGCCGGGUUCCAGGCCAGCAUCGGUUCUCCCAGGGGGAUAAAAGUCGCGGGAACGUAGCUCCUCCGGGAGUGUUAUAGCCCGUGGCAUAAUGCCCUUGGGGGGACCGAGGACCGCGCUUCGGCAAGGAUGCUGGCGUAAUGGUCACUAGCGACCCGUCUUGAAACACGGACCAAGGAGUCAAGCAUUAGGGCGAGUGUCUGGGUGUUAAACCCGCACGCGUAAUGAAAGUGAACGUAGGUGAGAGCUUCGGCGCAUCAUCGACCGAUCCUGAUGUAUUCGGAUGGAUUUGAGUAAGAGCCUUACCGCUUGGACCCGAAAGAUGGUGAACUAUGCCUGUAUAGGGUGAAGCCAGAGGAAACUCUGGUGGAGGCUCGCAGCGGUUCUGACGUGCAAAUCGAUCGUCAAAUAUGGGCAUGGGG